UCCGCCGCGUCCCGCGCAACCGGAAGUGGCCGGACCCGAGGCGGAGGGACCUGGCGGAGCGGAAGUCACUCCGUGAGGCAGUGGCGACGGCGGCGGCGAGAGGAUGAACAACAAGUUCGACGCAUUGAAAGACGAUGACAGUGGGGACCAUGAUCAGAAUGAAGAAAACAGCACACAGAAAGAUGGUGAGAAGGAAAAAACAGAACGAGACAAGAGUCAGAGCAGCAGCAAGAGGAAGGCUGUUGUCCCUGGGCCAGCAGAGCACCCCCUGCAGUAUAACUACACUUUCUGGUACUCCAGGAGAACCCCCGGUCGUCCCACUAGCUCACAGAGCUACGAACAGAAUAUCAAACAGAUUGGCACCUUUGCCUCUGUGGAGCAGUUCUGGAGGUUUUAUAGCCACAUGGUACGUCCCGGGGACCUGACAGGCCACAGUGACUUCCAUCUCUUCAAAGAAGGAAUUAAACCCAUGUGGGAGGACGAUGCAAAUAAAAACGGUGGCAAGUGGAUCAUUCGGCUGCGGAAGGGCUUGGCGUCCCGUUGCUGGGAGAACCUCAUCCUGGCCAUGCUGGGGGAACAGUUCAUGGUUGGGGAGGAGAUCUGUGGGGCCGUGGUCUCGGUCCGGUUUCAGGAGGACAUUAUUUCCAUUUGGAACAAGACUGCCAGCGACCAGGCCACCACAGCCCGCAUCCGGGACACCCUGCGGCGCGUGCUUAACCUACCUCCCAACACCAUUAUGGAGUACAAAACCCAUACCGACAGCAUCAACAUUUGCCAAAGAAUCGCCUUCUCUGACCCUUUCCUUCCACUGUGGUGUUACGUGUGUUGACUUUGACUUCAGCCAACACAGCUGGUCCAGGGGCUGAGCUUGAUGGCACCUUCCAGAGUUAGCAGUUGGUCAGAAGGCACCAGACUGACCUGGAGACACUCUGGUCCUUGCCGCAUCUGAGCAGAAGCCGGGACUGUUCUCCUUUGUGCUCCUCCUUGCGGCUCUCCCGCAGGUGUGGCUUUGAGCCGAGGAACAGCAUCUGCUGAGACUUGGAAACUCAAGGGAAGUGAAGAAAGAGCCGACAGUUGUUCUGUCUGGAGAUUAGGGCCCCUGGAAGUGGCGAGGGGAAUUUUUAGCAGUGGCUUUGGUAUCUCAGUCAGUGAACCGCCACCUGCUGGGUUUCAGUCCAGUGUCCUUUUUCACCUGUCUGGGUUUCCAGCCUUCCCCUCGUCGCACCGCUUGUGGCCUUUCCCUGCCACGCUCCUCGGUGAGCUGAGAGGCUAACACUGCGCGUGGGGCCUGAUGAGCUGCUUUGCUGCAGAGACGCCACCUGCUGCCUCGUACCCAGCAGUUCUUGCCAGCAGUCAGCUCCUUAAGGGUGCGCGGGUCCCCUUGCGCAAGGGGAGCUUGUUAAUCCAGGUGUCAGCUCCGGGCGUGGCUCCUCCUCCUGAGCUCGGUUGUAGUUGUGGCCUCAGAGAUGUGGGUCCCGCAGGCACCAAGUGGCUCACUGUGUCCUCUGCUUCGAGGACCAUCUCCUCCCACAGCCAGACCUGCAACCCCGAAUCUUGGGACCCCAGGAUAAAACGUGGGGCUCAGAGCCGUAGAAUGCAGCAGUUGACUUUUGAGAGGAAACUCCUCUUUGGAAUCAUCUGUUGAGCCCCUUAGUUCAUCUGGCCUGGAAUGGGAGAGGGAAGACAGGGCUGCCACGGGCCACGGUGUUGGGAGGACUGCAGAGAGAGCUGAGGGUAGGUGACUUCCCUUCAUUCAUUCAUUCUAGAGGAGAAAGGGGCCCACUCGUGGCGACUUCGCCCUGUUAACUGUCAUUGUAUUUAAACAUUGAACUUCGUCUUCUCCGAGGCUGAAUCACAGCCGGGAGGCCCCGGGUCAAACCAGCACAACUGCUGGCCUGGCUUCGAGUUUAUGCUGAUCCCCCCCACCACCCCCACCCCCGGCCGACGUUCAAGGCGGAGCCCGGACUAGCAGGAGGCCAGAGUUCGCCCGGGUGUAUGAGGGCCAGACGAGUGCAAGGCUGGGCGCCAGGCUUUGGGACAGGGUGGGCACGAGUACAGAGUUACAGACAUGAGACCUCUGCUCUCAGAAUGUGCUUUCUGGUAAGUGGGCUGGUAAAAAAGUGGUCUUUAGAGAGCUCGGUGUUACUCUGUCAUUUGAAUCUGUUUAGAAUUCCCUGUAGGCUGUAUUAACCUCAGGGUGAUUUAAAGCAUUUCUUUUUAAAGAAACCCUGUUUACAUGACAGUUUGAAUAUUCAACUUGUUCUUUGCCUUUGAGACAAGUUUCAAUACUUAACCUGCUCGGGAUGCCAGAGGAAAAUAGCCAGAAGGCCCCUAGUCUUGGGCGGUUGAUGUGCCUUUUAGUCAAGCACUGACCUCUGAGAACAGGCGAUUGUACCAGUGACUGUGGAUCCAUGCGAGCUACUCUCUGCCCAGAUUCUUCAUGUUGACGUUUUACGCAUGAAGAGGAUACUGCCGAGGAAACAGGAGGGCAGUUGAACACUAGAGUGGAUUAGAGGAGACCUCUGACGUGCAUAUGUCUGCAGGUUCUUGACACAGAGAACGUCCCUGUUUGGACUAGUGCAGGCUUUGCAGUAGAUGGAAGGAUUAAGGAGGUGAAGCUUCAACACAGCCAUGUAAUUUCUUGUUGACACCUCCAUUGUUCAAGUAGGAUUUAAAUGCCACUGUUAGAACCAGAGGGGGGACCCGCGUCGUGGCCCAGGCAUCCGCUUUUGCUUUCCUCUUACCUUCAUUUGGAGUCAAGAGUGAAGUGGCCUUCUGACACCACUGACGGAUUCUCAAAGUUCUCCACGCUACCGUCUUUCCAGAAAGAGCUGUGAAGCAGGUGUCUUUCUGUGGAAACCGAGUUUGUGGCGAAGAUAGCACCCCUGUGGGGUGCUCUUACGUUUUCCUUCAGCUCACUUAGCAUGUGUGUAUUGGGGAUGCUCUGAAGAAGCUAUUAACUGCAAAUCAGCCUCUUGUUCUGAGAGAUAGCGCCCUUCACUUAUAAAUGCUGCUGUUCAGAAGAGGGAUAGAUGAACGCCAGUGGUGUGCCUCUUGCCUGGAAGAAUGAAUUUGUUGUGCCAGGUCUCUGAUCUCUUGCUAUUUAAAAAAAGAAAGGAAGAAUGAAAAGCUCUCUGUAGAAGACUUGGUGAAUGAAGUAUAUUUUAGUGGCUAUCAUUUUAAACCUGUAGUGAGUUAAUUUAACAUGUUAAACCCAGUAUGUUGUCACCAUGGGUAUUUUGCCAUUUUAAAGCCAAAAUGGAAUAGUUGGUAAUCAAAAAUUUUAGAUUUAGAAGCACGAAAUUACCCAUUUUACAUACAAGUCCCAGGAAAGUUACCUGACACUUUGUCCCUGGUGGAGCUGAAAGGUGGCUAGAGCAAAAAGGUAGGACAUCAGCUCCUCUGAGAAAACACGAGGUGGGUCCGGGCUUCUGGGUACACAGGGAAUCUAGCAGGCUGCUGUUUUCUUGGCCAGGAGUCACCGCCGGCCUGCUUUUUUGUGGCGCAUCGACUCCAAAAGCCCCCCCCCCCAGUCACAUUCUUAUCCCUUCCUAACUCCAGUUUCUAAAUUAAUACACAUUAAAGUUGUGAGGAGCAUUGGUCCCUGGAAAUUUCAAACCGCUGUGACCCAUACAACUUAAGUUUUAAGAUAAUAGUCACUUGGGUAUUAUCGGAAAUGGAACCUGAUAUGAAUUUGGAGUCUGAGUUCCGAAGAGUCAGAAGGGAAAGCGGAUAAAGUGGUAUGAUUUCCUCACGGCGUCUUUGGACAUUGUAAUGCUGUCGGGUACCUGCCUUUACCCUCCGGGUGAAGCCUGAAGAGGAGAGAAGGUUUCUACCGCCUGUCCUCACGUCCCCAAGGCAGAAAGCAGAAGGCACUGCUGCCCUUCGCCUCGGUGAAUUGGAGGUGUCUCCCUUGGUGGGUGAGCUCAGCUCUGACCUUGUGGCCUGGUUGAGGGGAUAGAUAGACUUGCAAGUCCUCGAAGGAUGGUGAGGGCCAGACUUUGCCAGAGGAAGUGCCAACUGCCCUUGGAAGGUGCCAGCCACCCGCUAAGCUGAAAGGACAGUCUAGGUGGGAAACGUCACUGCCGUGCAUCCAGGGCCUGGGAGGAGUUUCAUGGCCUGGUGAACAGCAGCGGCCGCUGAUCGGACGCUCCCCCUCUGUCUCUCCCACUCAGGGGACAAUUCAAGCUUUCGAAAUACAAAGAUCGCGUUGUGAAAGUACACCAGCUGGCAGUAACCCUUUUCUGUGUGUGUGUGUCUGUCCAAAGCGGACGGGAGGUCUCCAGCUGCUCCUUCUGUCUGCUCACUGAAGGGACGUCCCUGAGCCACGUGCUCCCCUUUUGCACUCACUCCUGGAGGACGGGUUCCGCUAGACACCCUCCAGCAUCGCUGACUUUAUAAAGCGGAGAAAACGGAAAACGUGACUUUAUAAUAGACAAACUUUUUUUAAGAGGGUUCCGUGGGGGGCGGGUCAGCCUUUCAUUUUGCUGUGUGCUGUCCAGGUGCCUCUCGGGCAUUCUGCCGUGCUCUCCUCUGCUGUACGAAGGGCAUCGUGACCACGUGUACAAGCCAGAGCCGUGGGCUGAGAGUGACCAGUAUUAUGAAUGUCUGUGCCUCCAGGAAGAGCUUCGUGUUGGAGAGUCCCGGAAUAGCUAUAAAUGCUCUCUUCUAGAUCUGCCGUUCAGUUAUUGGGACAUUUUGUUUAUUUCACCCCCUCUUCCCCCGAGCCCACCACUUUCUGAAAUUGUGUCACCGACGGUGUAUAGGCUCCUGCCUUAUGCCCUCCAGCUCUCCCUCUGGUGGGACACUUUUGAGGCACUGCUGCACUUAGAAUUUUAGUCCAGUGGGCCACACUGGUUUCACGGAGGUGGCUUAGAAGGCAUGAUUAAGCCAGAGUGGAAUCCAGUUUGAUGAGGAGCUAAGUUAUAACAGAGGUUCCAAGUGCAGGGUUUGGAGCUGAGGGUAGUUUCUGAAACCAUUUUCCCAAUGAGCAGGGCCUGUGUGUCCAGCCUGUUGGUGCACGUUCUUGCACGCCCCUCCCUGGGGAAGGGAGGCAAAGCUGGUGGUCGUCAGGUGUUAACACUCAGGACGGGGAGUUCUGUGAUCCUGAAGCUGGGCCAUGUGAGGGACAAGGGACCACGCUGGAUGGCUGGCUGCGCCCGGCUGCGCCUGGCUGCAGUGGUGGGAGAACCUGCUUCCAGCCCUCGUCACAUGGUGUGCGUGUCAGCAGCUGUGUGCUGCUCGGGGAGGCCAGGACAGCAACCUGGCAGGCCCUCAAAGUGACAGGCACACGUCAGAGAAGCUGGGUGACCAGACUCCGGAGGGACUGAUGUCAGAGAGGUCAGCGAGCACCCAGGUUGCAACAGGUACUGGGGACCAGUCCCACUGCAGCCUCCAAGGAGCACUGUCUUACUUGGCUCUUGUGAGCAGAGACCACAGUACCUUAAAUUAAGGCCUCUCCUAAAACCUGUCCUUGCAGACCAGCGGGCCUGAGCCACCUGGUCUCGAGAAAUCGUGUGAGAGGAGCAGGCAUUUCCUUACUGUAUUUAUACUCCUCUCUUCCUACUUUCCAACUACUGAGCACCCCCUGGCUACCCCUGUCUUGGGGUGCUUUUUCCUAAAAGAACAGGGGAGCACAGGAGCCAAAGGGAGGUGCCUCCGUUACAGGUGAAGUUGGAUCGGAUAAGAAGAUCUAGCAGUCAUUUCAGUUCUAGGAAUAUGAAGAAUAAAUUCUACGGCCCAGACAGUUGUGAAGGGCUCAGACAGAUAUAUGAGUGACAUUGGCAAAAAUGGGGAACAAAGGCUGCCUCCUGAGCGUAGACCCCAGGGAGGGCUUCACUUUGGCCUAAACUCAACAUUUGCCACGAAGAUUCCAAAGAGAGCAGCCAUUUGGAUUAGCCCUCCUGGAACGUGUACCGGACAAUUAUUAGUGUGUGUGUGGGUGAGUGGGUGCGUGUGUGUGACGUGUUCCCAAGUGACCGUUACGUCAGGCCGACUGCUUAGGUAUCUUGUCUGUAUUUGUGUUUUUCCUUUUUUUGGGUCUCAUUUGGUGGAAUUUUUUAGUCUCCUGUAUUUUCUAAAGGCGCUUGUGUUUCCCCGCCUUCCUCUUUGUCUUCGCAGUGUUUGAACAUUAUUUUUUCCCAUCAAAAAUAUACCAGCUAGAACAAGGGUUAUUUCUGCUAAGCAGCCUCUUCCCCCCGAGAGCUCUCCAGACACUCGGCCUAACAACUGCCCCUUGGAGACUGAAGAGGCAGUUUCCCCAAACCACCCACUUUCCACACAGGCUUGCGAGGCCUUUUCAGUUCUUCUUGACUCCGUGGGCCUCCGCAGCGCUGAGACAGGACGUGGUUGCCGUUGUGGUGUCCCCAGUUCUAGAGGCAAAGGGGAGAAGGUGCACCAGGGCCAACCUAGCCAACGUGUUAGGUCGCUGCUGGGAGAUGGGGUGUCACUGUCACUGCAUAGGCGGGCUGUCCCCAGGACCCCUCAGAAAGCGGCCCCCCCUCCUCUCCAGUGCUCUUCUCAUUUAUCCUAAGAUUCGUGUGUGCGUGUGCGUGUGUGUUCCCUGUGACGUUGGCAGUGACGGUAAUUUUCCACCCAGAGAGAAGCUUGUGGUCCACGAUGCUCCAGGAAUGAAUUUCCAAGUAUUGGCCAUUGGAGGAGCAGAGGCUGUGACAAGAUGGUUUAGUGUUGCACUUUCAGAGCAAUUGUCUACUGCAGUAAUAAAUGGAAAGUACCUGCAA